UUUAUUGUGCAAAUGACUGGUCUUGGAAGUGUGGACACAGAAAAUAAUUUUUUCCCUAAAGCUCACAAAGCCUGUGUUCAUACAUCAGUGAAAACAACUGUUCUUUAAGCAAAUGUUAAAUUUGUUUUGUAUUGUUUUAGUAAUGUUAUAUAAAAGGAAAGAAAGCCUUAAGUUCCAUGAGUCUUCUUUUAAGGGCAUCUCCAAAGAACUCAACUAUGAGACAAACGUGUACAUUAACUUGAACUGCUGAGAUGAGGAGGUUCUGAAAUGAAACCACCACUUUUUCUCCCUACAGACUCUAACCCCAUCAGAACUACACGAGGCAAAGGCUCAGAUUUUCUGGAAGGAAAUGGAUGGAACCUCAUAUGAACUCUCACACAACAGUACUUAUGAGCUGGCACUAAGAGAAUUUACCCUUCAGAAAUGUUUCCACAAGUAGGGCCACUAUCUACACUUGUUAUCUGAAUGUGAGAGCUGAGGUACAUGAGGCACAUAACUGAGAGCCAGCCAUGGGAAGUGAGCUGCUGGCGGGAAGCUGUGGUUGAAGACAGCAGAGCUUCCUUCAGCCGGGUCCCCAAUAACUGCAGAGAGCAACUGACAGCUUCACCCCCCCACCCCACACCCCCAAUUCUAUCAAAUGAGCAAUAACUCAUGACAACAGUGACAAACAACACCUGCUGACUAAUGAGACACCCUCGGAAGCCCCAGAAACGUGACCACCACCACAGAGAAGCUAAGUCCUCACUCCGUUUCUGACGGACAGCAGAGGCAUUUAAGAAAAUAUCUUCCCAUCACUAGCUGACUGCUGAGAUAACACAACAGAGACUCUGGUGACCACACAUGACAAUCUUUGCAAAAGUACUAUGGAAAAGUCACUAGAUGGACAACUGCAGCCCUCAAGAAUCAACAACCGAGAGCCCUGUGGAGGGAAAGAGAAUCUAUAGACAUAGGAAGUAGAUCAGCUCCAUCAUCCCAAAACACCCCACGCCUACCCCUAGCAACUACUAUUUUUCAUCCCUAUAGCUUUGUUUUUUUUAAGAAUAUCAUAUAAGCCCUAACCGGUUUGGCUCAAUGGAUAGAGUGUCGGCCUGUGGACUGAAGGGUCCCAGGUUUGAUUCCGGUCAAGGGCAUGUACCUU